CACGAACGCUGGCGGCGUGCUUAACACGUGCAAGUCGAACGGAAAGGCCCUGCUUUUGUGGGGUGCUCGAGUGGCGAACGGGUGAGUAACACGUGAGUAACCUGCCCUUGACUUUGGGAUAACUUCAGGAAACUGGGGCUAAUACCGGAUAGGAGCUCCUGCUGCAUGGUGGGGGUUGGAAAGUUUCGGCGGUUGGGGAUGGACUCGCGGCUUAUCAGCUUGUUGGUGGGGUAGUGGCUUACCAAGGCUUUGACGGGUAGCCGGCCUGAGAGGGUGACCGGCCACAUUGGGACUGAGAUACGGCCCAGACUCCUACGGGAGGCAGCAGUGGGGAAUAUUGCACAAUGGGCGGAAGCCUGAUGCAGCAACGCCGCGUGCGGGAUGACGGCCUUCGGGUUGUAAGCCGCUUUCGCCUGUGACGAAGCGUGAGUGACGGUAAUGGGUAAAGAAGCACCGGCUAACUACGUG
rnacentral:rRNA from 1 species